rnacentral:tRNA from 1 species
AAAAAGAUAAGCUAAAUUUAAGCUAUUGGGUUCAUACCCCAAUUAUAAAGCCCCUCCCUUUUCUUUUUA